rnacentral:ncRNA from 2 species
UGAGUUUACGCUCUACAACCCUUUGUGAACAUACCUAUAACUGUUGCUUCGGCGGGUAGGGUCUCCGUGACCCUCCCGGCCUCCCGCCCCCGGGCGGGUCGGCGCCCGCCGGAGGAUAACCAAACUCUGAUUUAACGACGUUUCUUCUGAGUGGUACAAGCAAAUAAUCAAAACUUUUAACAACGGAUCUCUUGGUUCUGGCAUCGAUGAAGAACGCAGCGAAAUGCGAUAAGUAAUGUGAAUUGCAGAAUUCAGUGAAUCAUCGAAUCUUUGAACGCACAUUGCGCCCGCCAGCAUUCUGGCGGGCAUGCCUGUUCGAGCGUCAUUUCAACCCUCAAGCUCUGCUUGGUGUUGGGGCCCUACAGCUGAUGUAGGCCCUCAAAGGUAGUGGCGGACCCUCCCGGAGCCUCCUUUGCGUAGUAACUUUACGUCUCGCACUGGGAUCCGGAGGGACUCUUGCCGUAAAACCCCCAAUUUUCCAAAGGUUGACCUCGGAUCAGGUAGGAAUACCCGCUGAACUUAAGCAUAUCAAUAAGCGGAGGAAAAGAAACCAACAGGGAUUGCCUCAGUAACGGCGAGUGAAGCGGCAACAGCUCAAAUUUGAAAUCUGGCCCUAGGCCCGAGUUGUAAUUUGCAGAGGAUGCUUUUGGUGCGGUGCCUUCCAAGUUCCCUAGAACGGGACGCCAGAGAGGGUGAGAGCCCCGUACAGUUGGACACCAAGCCUUUGUAAAGCUCCUUCGACGAGUCGAGUAGUUUGGGAAUGCUGCUCAAAAUGGGAGGUAUAUUUCUUCUAAAGCUAAAUACCGGCCAGAGACCGAUAGCGCACAAGUAGAGUGAUCGAAAGAUGAAAAGCACUUUGAAAAGAGGGUUAAACAGCACGUGAAAUUGUUAAAAGGGAAGCGCUUGUGACCAGACUUGCGUCCGGUGAAUCACCCAGCUCUCGCGGCUGGGGCACUUCGCCGGCUCAGGCCAGCAUCAGCUCGCUGUCGGGGACAAAAGCUUCAGGAACGUAGCUCUCUUCGGGGAGUGUUAUAGCCUGUUGCAUAAUACCCUUCGGCGGGCUGAGGUACGC